UACGGAGGAUGCAAGCGUUAUCCGGAAUGAUUGGGCGUAAAGCGUCCGCAGGUGGCUGUGUAAGUCUGCUGUCAAAGAGCGAAGCUCAACUUCGUAAAGGCAGUGGAAACUAGACGGCUAGAGUGCGUUCGGGGCAGAGGGAAUUCCUGGUGUAGCGGUGAAAUGCGUAGAGAUCAGGAAGAACACCGGUGGCGAAGGCGCUCUGCUAGGCCGCAACUGACACUGAGGGACGAAAGCUAGGGGAGCGAAUGGG
rnacentral:rRNA from 1 species